ACUAGAUGACCAGUUGCGCCAAUGGCGCAAAGGCCAAGAGUAAGCCAUGUAUUGAAAGAGUGUACAUUAAUAUUAUUCGGGCACAUAUUGAAACAUAUGAGAAAAAAUUUCACUUACUAUAAGUACAAGCAAUGCAAUACCCAUAUAAUGUACAAGUACAUAUCAGUAUUAACAGAACCGUUAAUUAGUCAGACACAAAUCCACACCCGAGAAGCACAUUGCACAGGGUUGAAACUUUUAAGCCUCACAUUCCCAUGCAAUCUGAAGGAGGGCCCACAGAAUUGAAAUCCCUGAUGCGAAGUAUCAUCAGUUAGUAAUAUUUAUACACACAUCUUCAUUGUAGUCAUAUGAUGAUGAAAUCAGUACGUAAAUCAGUACAAACAAAAAUUCUGCAUCCCACAGAACAACACUAUUAUGCAGGACUCAUUUUAAAAGGCCCUCAGUUCUAAUUUCUACAAGAGAUGUGAAGUCAUCAUCUAAGAUUAUAAUGUCGGAGCUUCCUUUAGCAACUUAUGUCCCUGACAUGCACAUUGCAAGACCUAUAUUAGCCUAUACAACAGAUCAAGCAUUAGAUAUAAGAACAAAACAAAAUCUUCUGCAAUAUCAAGAUAAAUAUAUUAGAUAUGUAUAGACAAGGCAUGGUCUGACCUUCUCUGAAACUCAGUUAUAUUAGCUAUACAAUGGAGUACCAAGCCAAAUAUCAGGAUACAAUUAUGCUUAUAUCAAAUAUCCACAAAAUGAACAAUAUGAAAACACAUUCCUGGCAUGUAUUAUGGGAGUGUCUAAUCAACAGACAUCUGUUUUUUUAUUUCGGUUCAGGCCGGAUUUUUGUCCAUUGUCUGGUCGACUCAUGUACAUACUUGUUUUCGCUUCAUACAGUAGUUUUGGAAAAAAAUCAUCUAAUUUCAUUUGGAGCUCAGGUUGGAUUAACUUUUUGCUCACAGUUUCCAGUGUCCCGCCCGGCCUAGAUUGCAACCCGCCCCUCCCCAAACAAAAAAGAAGUGUGAAUGAGCAAGGCAGGCGGAGGGGUGCCCUGUCGCUUACAUUGCCAAUGCCCCUGGGAAAUCUACCAAGGUACCUCCCUCUUCCCUGACUCUUUUAUGACUCUACAUCCACGUGUGGCCAUUUUUUGAAUGAUAUCUAGUCUAGAACAUAACUGAACUGAACUCCAUUAAAACUGAAUUUUAGUACAACACCUAUGAAGUCCUACAAACCACCGCACACAUUACAUAUAUAUGGUUUAAGCUUUAACAUAAGAGCCCGACUGAAAAGUUACAAACAGCAACAGCAAGCUGGCUAUCUAGUCCAGAACAUUCUUCGGCAAAAGGGAACUACACAAUUUAGUCAACAAACUAAGUUUAGAGGUGCAAAUGCAUGAUGGGAGCGCACGUAAUCCUUUUUGGUAGUCUCAGCGUGCUUUACCUAGCCUGACAACUAAAUUUCGAAUCAUGGCAUGAUGGCAAGCAAGGAAAAGGUGGCAAUUCAUCACCAGUGGCAAAAUUCUCCAUAGCCAGCUAGCUUUUAUAGCUUCAUGCCAAUAUUGGCCAACUCCUUUAACAUGCAGUAGAAACGAACGAUUUAAUUUACAUCAUACAGUAAAAUCUGCAUUCGAGUUGAAAGUAGCACAGACCCUCAUGUAAGGAGCAGAAUAAAUUUACAGAGAACAAUCAGGUGCUUUGUAUCUAAAACCAGGACCAGCCUCUAAAAGCUCUAUAUGGUGUUGUCCUCAAGAAAUAGAAAAGCGAGUUAUAUACAGGGAACGUGUACCAAAAGCAAGCCAGUUACUUGUUUCAGAUGUGCGACCCUUGCUGAACAUCUAGCCAAAAGAAGUAGAAUAACUGCAUCACUAAAGUUUAAGUAGACUAUCUGAUUUUUUUGGUCAUGCAGACAUGUAAAUAUUAGCAGACAUGUAGACUAAAGUGUCAACUAUAAACCACUGUCCGCAAUUGGAGGCAGCAUAAUCAGUAUAGAAUAAGCAUUUGUAGCUAGAUAAAUUACUUGUUUCAAGAUGAUUGCUAUUUCUUUUAGGAAGCGAAUCAUAGUAGGAAUUCAAUUAUAAAUUGGCAAGAAGAUGAUUGUCAAGCAGUUUUUUCUGUGGUUGAUUUGGGGCAAAAAGGGAGUGACGAUACCAGCUGCACUUCCUCAUCUGUAAUUUCCCGAUGCUUGUUCUUGUUUCGAUUCAUUUAGGCUGGCUAUCUUUGCCGCUUGAAGCACAAGUUCUUGUCUCUUUCUUGAGCCCUCUACAUAGAUAGAGGAAAACUAAGAUGUAUAUUCUAUUAGAAAUCAAAAUAUCGACCUUCACUAUCACAAUCAGCCAUAGACAGUUAAAUUGGAGAGCAGAAAAUUUUAUUGAAUGAACCAGUGAUGCAGUGUCAAACUUUCUUAAAUUCCAGUUAAGUUUUUUUAUGUAUAAAAGACUUGAUGAAAGAAUAUUAGUUCAAAAGUGAUUGAUAAACAAAAUAGUGUCCAUUCAACUUAAAGAUGAUGAAAUGGGAUACCAAACACGGCACACCGGGACAAACACCAAACCAUAUAAUAGGAGAGAAUUGCAGAAACAUGUAGAAAGUGAUCUGCAUGUAAAGAACUUUUAGUAACUAAACUGAAUCUUUUUUCACUAUGGUUCAUACUCUAAAUGGGAUUUUGCAUAUUAUCAGAUGUUUGCUGCUUUUUCAUUUUCUUCCUUGUACUUUUCUUCUUAGACUGUACUUCAGUGUUGAGGGCUUUUACAUUGUUCAUUGUUUUUGCCUUUUGCUUUCAGCCUAAAAGAUAAUACAACGUAAGCUUGGUACUGAAUCGGUAGCUUAGAGACUACCUGUUAUGUAAGAACACACAGACUGAUGCUAGUAUUACUUAUGUACAAAUGAGAACUAAAAAGAUAAGAAAUAACCAAGAAGAUAUAAAAGAGGGGCACGGAUGUAUAUUCAAAAACCAAAAGGGAAUGAAACUGGUGAGCUAUUAACAAAACACGAGAAGUACCCGCAUAAAUUUGAGAACCAGCAUCACAAUAAUAUGAUCGCUACAAAAUAUGGCUAUAAUUUGUUUUUUCUGCAAUUACAUAACCAAAAGCAUAUCAAAAUUAUAGCCCAACAUCUGAACUCUAGG
rnacentral:lncRNA from 1 species